rnacentral:rRNA from 1 species
CCCUUGUACACACCGCCCGUCACACCAUGGGAGUGGGUUGCAAAAGAAGUAGGUAGCUUAACCUUCGGGAGGGCGCUUACCACUUUGUGAUUCAUGACUGGGGUG